CCCGCACAAGCGGUGGAGCAUGUGGUUCAAUUCGACGCAACGCGAAGAACCUUACCUGGGCUUGACAUCCGCUGACCGUCCUGGAAACAGGAUCUUCCCCGCAAGGGGACGGCGAGACAGGUGGUGCAUGGUUGUCGUCAGCUCGUGUCGUGAGAUGUUGGGUUAAGUCCCGCAACGAGCGCAACCCCUAUUGUUAGUUGCCAUCAUUCAGUUGGGCACUCUAGCGAGACUGCCGGUAAUAAACCGGAGGAAGUGGGGAUGACGUCAAAUCAUCAUGCCCCUUAUGACCUGGGCUACACACGUGCUACAAUGGUUGGUACAACGAGUUGCGAGUCGGUGACGGCGAGCUAAUCUCUUAAAGCCAAUCUCAGUUCGGAUUGUAGGCUGCAACUCGCCUACAUGAAGUCGGAAUCGCUAGUAAUCGCGGAUCAGCACGCCGCGGUGAAUACGUUCCCGGGCCUU
rnacentral:rRNA from 1 species